UGUAUACAAAGUGAAAUUAUUAAAGGUGAAAUUCCCGAAAGGCAUAUCCUUGACACUAAAACAAUAAUGCGUAUACAUAAAAGGUUGUUAGCCCCCCCCCCCAAUUUUAAUUUAUGAGGGGAUCUCGGUAGGAAUAUUCUAAGGUGAAAACACUACAUCCCGCAACAACACGUAUGCUUGAUAGUUGAAAUUUAAUAUCGCGAGAGUGGUAGUUACUAUAGCACAAAAUAUCGUUCUAUUUUAUUGUCGUGUCGCACAGACGUUUCUACUGAAAUGCACUAUUAACUCUACCAUCAUAUUGUCUUUUAUUCUGUAUCACUUUUUUAUUUUGUCGCAUGAUGGACGCUGUCUCUGUGACGAUCACUAUCGCGAUAGUUGUAGCAAGUACAGCGACUCUCAUCAGUCACAGUAGCAAGCUUCUUUUAGACCAGACUUUUACUCGUAAUCUGUGGUACAUAAUCGGAUAUGCGAUUAUAAAAUAUUAUCGUCUUCAACACCGUACCAGUAUAAUA